rnacentral:rRNA from 1 species
UACGGGGGGUGCGAGCGUUGUCCGGAAUCACUGGGCGUAAAGGGCGCGUAGGUGGUUUGAUAAGGGUGUGGUGAAAGUCCGGAGCUCAACUCCGGAUCUGCCGUGCCGACUGUCAAACUCGAGGGCUGUAGAGGCAGACGGAAUUCCGGGUGUAGCGGUGGAAUGCGUAGAGAUCCGGAGGAAGACCGGUGGCGAAGGCGGUCUGCUGGGCAGUUUCUGACACUGAGGCGCGACAGCGUGGGUAGCAAACAGG